rnacentral:rRNA from 1 species
GAUGAACGCUGGCGGCGUGCUUAACACAUGCAAGUCGAACGAUGAAGCCCAGCUUGCUGGGUGGAUUAGUGGCGAACGGGUGAGUAACACGUGAGUAACCUGCCCUUAACUCUGGGAUAAGCCUGGGAAACUGGGUCUAAUACCGGAUAGGAGCGUCCACCGCAUGGUGGGUGUUGGAAAGAUUUAUCGGUUUUGGAUGGACGCGCGGCCUAUCAGCUUGUUGGUGAGGUAAUGGCUCACCAAGGCGACGACGGGUAGCCGGCCUGAGAGGGUGACCGGCCACACUGUGACUGAGACACGGCCCAGACUCCUACGGGAGGCAGCGGUGGGGAAUAGUGCACAAUGGGCGCAAGGCUGAUGCAGCGUCGCCGCGUGGGGGAGGACGGCCUUCGGGUUGUAAACCUCUUUCAGUAGGGAAGAAGCGAAAGUGACGGUACCUGAGAAGAAGCACCGGCUAACUACGUG